rnacentral:rRNA from 1 species
GGAUUCCCCGAGUAGCGGCGAGCGAAACGGGAACAGCCCAGCGCUGAAUCCCGCCGUUCCGUCGGACGGCCGGGAAAUGUAGCGUUCGGGAGGAGAUUUUAACAUUCGCGCGGUCUACGUAACGGCGGCCAGUCCAAGUCCAUCUUGAAGGGGGCUCCGCUUAUCCGUAGAGGGUGCCAGGCCCGUAGCGACGGUCGCCGGCCGCGACGGUCUCUCUCCCAAGAGUCGGGUUGCUUGAGAGUGCAGCCCUAAGCGGGUGGUAAACUCCAUCUAAGGCUAAAUACGACCACGAGACCGAUAGCGAACAA